UCUUACAGGAUUGUUUGCAGAUAAUGCUGUUCUUCUUUUUCAGAAGUUUUUGGGGAGCCAACCCUCACAAACCUUCCUAAAAACUAAAAGAGCUAUUACUGAGUCUCAGCGAAUCUUGCCAUGAUCAGCUCUUCUCAGAAGAGAAGGAAGACCAAGGAAAUGAUUUGCUCAGGAUGAGGAAUGAAGACGGCCAUCUUGUGUUCAAACAAACAGAAGUCCUCUGAUGAUCUCAUCAGCCAAAUGAGGGGUUUUGACAAAGUGAUGCUCUUGAAAGGAUUGAAAGAAGAGGAUGUGGUAAAUUGUCUUCAGAGAAAAAGCUUCUCUAAAGGUCUUAAAGCAGCUUGAAGAAUGGUCUGGGAUGUUAGGACUGAGAGAUCCUCUGGCUGAGAACAAGCUACACCACAUCAGUGCUGGAUAUCAACCACAAACUGUUUCCAGACACGAGAGAAGAAGAUCAUGAUGGGGAGAUGAAACCAGUUUAGAUGUGAUGAUAAGGAAUCAUUAUUUUCUGGAACAGUAUCACAUGUCUUAUAUGUAUCACAUGAUCUGUAUCACAGUUGUCUGGAUGGGACUGUGUGACUUUUAAGGACAUUUCAUCACUCAUCUGUGUGAACUGAUUAAUAUAUGAGGUUAAUGUAUUUUUGAUGAUAAUUAUUUUCCUUGAAUCUUAUUUGUCUUGAUGCUACUUUAUCAACUUUAUAGUCUAUGCUUCAAUAAAAUGAAAAUGGUGAA